CCUACGGUGGGCUGCAGUGGGGAAUAUUGGACAAUGGGCGAAAGCCUGAUCCAGCCAUGCCGCGUGUGUGAAGAAGGCCUUCGGGUUGUAAAGCACUUUCAGUGGGGAAGAAAGCCUUGGGGCUAAUACCCUCGAGGAAGGACAUCACCCACAGAAUAAGCACCGGCUAACUCCGUGCCAGCAGCCGCGGUAAUACGGAGGGUGCGAGCGUUAAUCGGAAUUACUGGGCGUAAAGCGCGCGUAGGCGGUUUGAUAAGCCGGUUGUGAAAGCCCCGGGCUCAACCUGGGAACGGCAUCCGGAACGGUAAGGCUAGAGUGCAGGAGAGGAAGGUAGAAUUCCCGGUGUAGCGGUGAAAUGCGUAGAGAUCGGGAGGAAUACCAGUGGCGAAGGCGGCCUUCUGGACUGACACUGACGCUGAGGUGCGAAAGCGUGGGUAGCAAACAGGAUUAGAUACCCCGGUAGUC
rnacentral:rRNA from 1 species